GUAAGAGAAGAAGAAAAAAAAAAAGAAAAAUGAAAAAAAGCAGGAGGAAGAAAGCAAAGCACAGCCAUACGGGCAGUGCUCCUCCGCUGAACUGUAUCUCCUGCCUGUUUAACGGCGGGGAGAAGACAAUGUAUGGCGGCGUGCUCCUCCCUCUCCCCAGCCAGGCAGCCUCAUCUGUCAGCCAUUAGUUAAUCAGGGCGGGUAACGCACAAGGAGAGCAGGAAACUGGCACAGCGCCUGACCCAGAGGACAGCUUCACCUCUGAGAGCAGAGCAGGAGGAGGGCAAGGACCCAGGGGACCGACGGAGUCCUCCACUCUACUGCCAGGCUAGGGUGCUACCUCACUCUACUCAACACUGUCUCAGGAUUGGCAGGCUGCAGUCGCAGGAUGACCCCGCCCAUUCCAUCCCAGAGGACAGGGAAGUUUCAAAGACAGAAGUCAAAACAACACAUGUUGUCGACGUGGGAACAGCUGGUAAGGGCAGAGCGUUGUGGUGCGGAGGAAUGUUAAGAGUCAUAGAUCUUUCAUCUUCAUGGCCAAAAUAGCCACACACAGGCCUGAUCAUCUACAUGCAUAGUAUGAAACACUAACCAACACCUCACUAACACAAAUACAGUCCAAUCCAACCGUGGUCAAUGCGGUCCAAAUCUUGCUUCCAGAAAUCCUUAGAUAAUUACUACAUGAGUAAGUAGGUUAUAUUCAUUCAGAUGAACUGGUAUUAACUCACAAAUAGGAUUUCUUCACAAAACAGUUGGUACAAACCAAUGACAUAAGUAUAUUUAGGUACCAAAGGUCAAAAUAGGGACUUUCCGAUAAGGGUCCUUCCACUAAAAAAAAUCCCUUUUGCUUUCCUUUGAUAUUUUAAGUAGGAAUUGUACACCAAUAUUGAAUUUUAAAAGCAUGGUUUAUUAAAUUAAGUACCCUUUAAAAUAGACCACAUGGAGAAUUCAAUAAAUAUUAUUUUGUAUAUGAACAAAGACUUGCUGUCCCUCGGUGCACCCUGUGACCUUUAUGCAGAUUUGAACACUCUUAAUAAAUCAUUGUAAAGCCCUAGUUAAUUUGUUGCUUUGACAAUGCCAUUUCUGAACAUUAUAACUGAUUUCAUGUGAUUAAUGAAUAAUUGUAAGGGGGAAAAAACCUGUCCCUCAUUUUAAGGUCAACCCUGUUACGUGAACUGAACUCUCGUUUUAAUAUAGUGAAACUAUUCCUUUUUUUUUGUUCUAAGUUAAUUUGUGGAAUUUCUUUCCUUCUUAAUGUGUUUGAGC